GGGUGGGGGGAAAGGCUGGGAGAUGGGAUAGUUAGAGUUUGGGAUGGACAUGCACACACUGCUGUAUUUAAAGUGGUUAACCAACACAGAACUACUGUAUGGCACAGGGAACUCUGCUGAAUGUUACAUGGCAGCCUGGAUGGGAGGGGAGUCUGGCGGGGAGAAUGGAUACAUGUGUGUGUAUGGCUGAGUCCCUCUGCUGUGGACCGGAAACUAUCACAAUGUUGCUAACUGGCUAUGUUUGUUGUUGUUCUGUCGCUAAGUUGUGUCCGACUUAACUGGCUAUACUCCAAUACAAAACAAAAAGUGAACGAAAAAACGACAGUUCAUUUGUACCCUGGAACACUCUAUAGCAGGUUUGGGCUGCUCCAGCAAAAUAGCGCAGACAGACAGCUUAUAAACCACAGCAUAUAUUUCUUACAUCUCUGGAAGCCAGGACAUCCAGAAUCAAGGCCCUGGCAGGCUCUGUCUUCGGGGACAACUACCUUCCUAGGCAGCUAUGUGCUGAACCUUGUGUCUGUAAAGGUCAGAGAGUAAAUAUUUUAGGAUUUGCUGGACUUACUGCCUCUGACACAAGCACUCAUCUCUGCUGUCCUAGUGUGAAAGUGGCCACAAACAACCCACAAAUGCAUGAGCGUAGCUGUGCCUCUAGAAUUUUAUUUCUGGACAGUGAAAUUUGAAUUUCAUAUAAUCUUCACAUUGUAAAACGCUACCCUUUAAAAGCAUUUGCUUUCAACCAUUAAAAAUUAUACAGACUCUUCUUAGCUCGUAGGCUGUACAAAAACAUUUUAUCUCCUUGGGAAUGAAAUGAAGAGAAAUUAGGGGACUUCCCUGGUGGUCCAGUGGCUGAAACUCUACUCUCUGAAUGCAGGGGGCCUGGGUUCGAUUCCUGGCCAGGAAACUAGAUCCCACAUGUUAUAACUAGAAGUUCACAUGCUGCAGUCAAAAAAGAUCUCGCAGGCCACAGCUAAGACCUGAAUAAUCCAAGUAGAUAAAUAUUUUUUAAAAAAGAAGAGAAAUUAACCACUGCUACACACUCAACAGUAUAGAUGAUCUUCAUAGACUAUAGUGUCGAGUGAAGAAAGAUUGAACAAAAAGAAGCAGAGACAAUUUACGACUUCACUUAAAGAAAGCUCAGAACCAGGCAAAACUAACUUAGGGUGAUAAAGGUCAAACCAAUGGUUACCUGAAGUAGUGUAAUAGGCAGGCUUCUGAGCUGCGGCUAAUGUUCUGUUUUGUGAUUUGAAUGGUGGCUAUUCAGCCGUGUUCACUUUAUAACACUCCUCAAGCUGUGCUAUAAAUUUGCUGUAUUUUCUACAGGACAAUUUAAACAAUUAUUAACCUAGGUUGACUUGAGAGCACUGUGGGCUAGCUAAGCACAUGUAGAAAGACUGCUGAUCUAAACCUCAGUUCUGUCACUAGCUGGGUGAUCGUGGGUGAGUUGUUUCACCUCUCUGUUCUUUAGUUUUUCUCAGUUGUGUAAAAGGGGAUAACUGUGAUUCUCACAUCAUAGGAUUUCUGUAAGAAUUCUGAGUUAACUCUUAUAAAGCUGCCUAGAACAAUGCUUGGCAUACCCAAAGCACUCAAUAAAUGUUAGCUAGUAUUACUGUGGCCAAUGACUUUUUUUUUUGCUUUGGGUCUUAUGUUCCAGCCUGUUAAGAUGUUUAUAAACUUUUGAUUCUGCCAUAUAUUAUGUUUACUUUCAGAUUCAGUCUUAGGUCAGGAGCACAAAGAAGUCUUUCUACCUCACAUGUGGUCCAGCCUGACUCACCAGGAAUACGAGUCUGGAGAAGAGCCUGGGAGUGCAGGCUUGUGGUCAUAAAUAAUAUAAAUAUCCCUUGUCUUAUUUAGAACGUACGCACUGCCCGUGAAAAGCGGCAAUGUCAGUAGGUGCUAGUUGAAGACUCUGAGAUCUGGGAUUCCAAACAAAUAUACAUUUCCAUUUUGAACUAAUCAUUUUUAUAGGAAACAGAAGGGGCUUGUUGGAGGGGUGUAUGAACAAUAUAUUUUGUUUCUUGUCUGUUCUCCAGGCCUGGGUCUUUGCGUUGAAGGAGUGCCUGAGGCGAAGUCUUUUGCCCUCCAGGAACUUUAUAAGGUGUAACCCCCCACUCACCCACUUUAAAUCUUUUCCUGGAAAAAAAAAAAAGGCUGAAAAUAAAGAAAGACAGAAAUAAACAUAUUCUAGAGACUACGAUCUCGUUAGGUGCUAUAAAUGACCAUUCUCCCAUACUGGAAGGUAUAAUGUUCUAUAGCUUUGAAACAGGGAAGCCAAUAGUUUUUUUGGCUGCCUAUAAACAUUCACUUCCUGUUCAAUCAUUCAACAGAUUUUCAAUCAUUCAACAGUUUUUAUCGAGUACUUCAUAUCUGUGGCAUAAAAGUCCAAUGAAAUACCGAUUGAAAGAAACCUUUUUAACUCUUCUUUUGUUUAAGGUGAUGCUUCUUUAAAAUCGCUGACCACGGAACGUCACAACCUCCUCCUCCUUUUUUUUUCUUUCUCCCAGUCAUAACCUAUUUAUAUCACAGAACAUACUUUGGGAAAUGCUGAGUUAACCAGUCCUUUAUUGCUGAAUCCUGAGCUUUCCCAAGUUUUGCUGCCAUAAAUAACACCGCGGUGAACAUUCUUAUACCUACAGCUUUGCACACGUGUUAGAUUAUCUCUUUAGGAUAAAUUCCUAGGAGUGGAAUUGUUGAGCUAAAAGUUCUGUUUCUUUUUACGUGUGUAAAAGACCCUGGUGUCAGUUUUACAAAUCUUAGGUAAUCGUAGACUCAUAAAACAUCAGAGUGGGAAGGGAUCUUGGAGAACAGCUUAUCAAGCCCUCCUGCUGGGCCGGGACGACCACGGCUAGAAGCCAGGUCCAUCCUCAGACGCUUCUCCAGGCGCUGUAUGGGCUCUGGGGACAGCUGUGCAACAGAAGAAAGACAGAUUGGAGGGAGUCAAUGAGGCACUGCUGGACUCCACUAGGAGCCUGUCUCCUUGCUAGCGGGCUUUCUUCUUCAAGCCAGAGGACCUAUAUGCCAUGAUGGACCAUUUACUGAGAAUAAAAUGCCAGUGGAGCCAAGAUCCAAUUUAGCAAUAACUCUUCCCAUUCAAGGAUAGCCAAGAUUGCCAAGAAGCCCACAAAGGGUGCAGUGUGUGCAUGUGUGUGUGCACGCUAGUCGUAAUGAGACGCACACAGGACAGCAUGUGAUGUUAAUUUCCCAGCAGCUCAGCCAUGACCCUGCCGCUUAGGCCACCUUCAGGAAGGACUAAGCUGGCAGUUGUGUGAAUUGCUUUCUAGACUUAUCAGGAGAGCUGGCUGCUAUGUGCUGGGCACAUGGGCUUCUGUUUGUUUGUUUUCUGGCUGCGCUGGGUCUUCACUGCAGCACACGGGCUUUCUCUAGUUGCUGUGAGCAGGGCCUGCUCUCUA
ensembl:lncRNA